rnacentral:rRNA from 1 species
AUGAGCGAAGAGGCCCAAUGCGCCAUUCUAACAGACACAGACCACGGUCCGAAGGGACGGCCACGAAAACCACUGCCAGGCUACACAACAUUCUUCAAAGUGACAGUCAUCACCUUGGGAUAUCAUAGGAGGCCUUACAGCAUGUGCACUUUCUCUUCCACUGAGUCGAGUUGGAGCGCACCUAGAAGGUGCUUUGCACUUCUGGAGUAUACCUUCGUCCAUGGCAACCUUGUCGUGUCUCGGGGCAAGGUGCACUGGCUCAUCAAGGGCUUGGGCCAUUUUUGGACCCUUGGAUUCUGCAUUGAGACUGAGCACAUCUCCAUAACACAGCUUCCGAUUCCACAGGACUUCUGCGAAUACAACAGCUUUAACCAUUCACCGGUACUUAGCGUGGCAGCUGAUGGCAAAUUAUCACUGAUUUGCCUACAUAAAAAUUUCCUCCAGGUACAGAUAUUUACAUGUAAAGGUGACGAAGGAGAUGGCAAUGGUGUUGCUGACGCACUACAUACUGAGGUCAUCGAGCUCAAACACAAACCAAGGCAGACCACCAAAGCACUCUACAUGUAUGUGGGCUAG